rnacentral:rRNA from 1 species
CACGUAGGGCGCAAGCGUUGUCCGGAAUUAUUGGGCGCAAAGAGCUCGUAGGCGGUCUGUUGCGUCCGCUGUGAAAACUCGGGGCUUAACCCCGAGCCUGCAGUGGAUACGGGCAGACUAGAGGUAGGUAGGGGAGAAUGGAAUUCCCGGUGUAGCGGUGAAAUGCGCAGAUAUCGGGAGGAACACCGGUGGCGAAGGCGGUUCUCUGGGCCUUACCUGACGCUGAGGAGCGAAAGCGUGGGGAGCGAACAGG